AAGGGAACGUACUCGGUUACUAAUGUAACCUCGGUUCCCUGAAAUACGGGAACGAGUACUGCAUUCCUUGCCAUGCUAAAAGGCUGCACGACUCAGUCGUCGCUUCAGUAGAAGUAACCUGAAUUCCUGUGGCGAAGCAGCCAAUAUAUAGCCAGAUCCCCCGCCCAUUUUGGCGGGCUUCGCUGCCAUAGGUUCGUGCAGCACCGCUGCCGAGCCAUUGGUUUGUUUUAAUAACACUGCACGAACCAACGGCCGUGCAGUUUCACUGCGUGAUUGAAUAAGGCUUCAGUUCAGGAGAAAAAAGGAGUUUUUCCCAUAAGCGUCUUCGACGCAGUACUCGUUCCCAUAUUUCAGGGAACCGAGGUUACGUUAGUAACCGAGUACGUUUUCCCUUAUGCAAAAUGCAUAGCGAUAUUGUAAAAUGAAGCAAAUAAAUGGCAUAUAUCACAAAAAUAUAGAGAACACUUAUUCUUUAAUAGAUAUUAAAUAUACGGAUGGUUGCAUGUGUAGUGUCAAUUGUAUUUUUUUAGUGUCUUGAUAUAAAAUAUUACAUGUUCAUACCACAUAUAUUGAUAGUCCACGUAUAUACGAAUAUACUGUAUAUUUAAUUUGUGUUGUAUGUGGUUUUCUAAUAGUGAAGGUACUUCACAAUCCUUAUCAACAAUAGUCAAAGUGGUAGGCGUUGUCCUCAUUGUCAUUUAUGUUUGAAGGCCACAAUAGCCCUGCAAUGCCAGUUGCAUAACCUGGAGGCCAUGAAAACGGAAAUGGACGUCUCAGACAAUCAACUGGAGAGAUGGAUCAUUGAUAUCAAUGAGUGGGCAGAAGCAACAACAUCCCCAAAUGAUGCUGAUGUUGCCGCUGUUGCCAGCCGAAUUGAGGAGCUGGUGGCAAGUGUUAAGAGGAGGUCCCAGCAUUUUUACAAGGAUAGUGACGGAUGCAAAGGACGUGCCCGAAUCCGCCGAAAGAUCAGGGAGGAAAAAAAAAUCUUAAAUUCUGUAGUGGAAAAGUACAACACCUUGGUUCCUAAUGCAGAAAAACUGUCAUUGGACACCAUUCUAUCUGACGAGAUUGUUUGGCCAUGGCAGCUUACACACGGUGACUCUGUAGAUCUAAGGACAAAGAGGAAGGCGUUUGACAUUGUGAUGGCAGUAAGGAGACUUGAGGAGGAGAAGAGGAUUCUUAUUGCAGAGAUGAACAAGCAUUGGAAGUCUCUUUGCUCCCGUGCAGACACCCUGAAGCAGAUGUCAUCCCAGCUUUCUAAUGUGACAUCAGGUGAGACGUGGGGCCUGCUUCAAGAUGGUAUCCGAGGUCUACAGAGCUUGACGAUGAAGAACAAGCAAGCAAGCAACAGCCUGGCAAAGCAUGCAAAGAAAUAUUAUGUUCAAGUUCUGACUGAAACAGAAAUUAACUUUGAUAGUGAUUCUGAGGAAUACCAUACCAGUAGUGACUCUGAGCAAGAUUAAACAUGGCCAGAGUCCUUUUUAUGCUGUUGUGUGCUGGGGAGGCAGCAUUAAAGAAGAGGGCCGCUGGGACAGGUUGUUAAGGAAAGCUGGCUCUGUGUUUGGCAUGGAGCUGGAGUUAAUUAUUUAACAAACUGAGGAUAAUUUGCAGUAGCAGUCUUCUGUCAUGCUCAACACUGAAGAGGUCCUUUGUCCCCAGGGCAAACCAGCAACUCAAUGUCACAGAAAAGGUUAGGGGAGAAAUUGACUUUUCAGCAUGAGUCUCACCCUGCGCCAACCAUUACAUCACUUUGUCUAUUGUCUAGUAUCCACUAUCCAUUUGACUGUCUUACACAGUCAAAUGGACAUUAGCCCCUCUACACAUUCUGG
ensembl:lncRNA